GGUAAGUGCAAUGAACCAAACGAGACAUCUUUGUGCAAGCUGAGCUGUCUUCACGGAGACACUGGACAGCCGUCAGACAUCACGACAUCACAGCCCGAGGAAGCGCGUCGAGUGUUAAUUGCUUAAUUAUCCCCACCUGUGGGCCUGUCUGCGCGUGCUGCAGCACGUAGCCAUGCGUGUGAGGCUUCCGUUUCACACUCCAGUGGAAAAGCCGAGCGCUUCUGUGGUUGCUCUUCAGUCCGUGCAGACGGCACGUCAGGAUUUCGCUGAGUCUUGUUUCCCCAACAUUUUACCAUGUGUGGCUGUUGUGGUCAGGAUAAUUGGGGGGUUAAGUGGUUGACCUUAAUUCAGUGGGGUGUCUUCAUGUCUGUGGAACUGAUGUAAUUACACAUGAGUGGUUUAAAUGAUUAAAAUUGCCUGGUCUUUAAUUUGAUUUGCGUUUUCUUUGCUGUGAUUUCCCAUAAGAAUCAACACUGAAAAUGGCUGACAGCGAUUUGAGAUAAAUAUUUAAAAACCACACUGGGAAUUGUUGCCUUUUUGUUGUUGUUUUCAAGGGGCACUCUGAUGGUGAGUCAGCAACAUGUUUGAAACGUGUUGUUGGCAUCCGACAUAAGCACACGUUGACCUUAAUAAGUGAGGCUGAGGUGAAAACAUUCUGGUCAGAAAGGAGCAUCACAUUGUGUUGUAUUUUCCACAGCAUCACCACUUGUUUUGGGAUCACUUCCCUCAGCGCCAGGAUAUUUUCUGCUCUGCUGAAAAUUUGAUUUGAUUUCAUGAUUUUGACCAAUAUUUUAAAUAUAUAUAUAUACAUAUCUCCUCUGAAACCCCCAGCUCUGAUGGGACUCUUGACAGGUGCAGCUUCUCGUGUACAUCCGUAAAUAAAUGCAUAUGCAUAUCAAACCGCGUCAGCAUCACUGCGAUCCAGAGCGUAAAGCUUCAGUGAGGACUGAAACGAACCACCUCCCGCUCUGUUUCUGACACCUCUAACUGUUGAGUGAAGACGAGGGUCAAGCGCGGGUUUACCUGUUUGAAUCUGAGAAGGAGGGAGCCGCUCUACAGUGAGCAGCUGUGAUGUAAUCUCAGCUGCAUCCGGCCCAGGCUGAGGACAGACCCGGAGCAGAGCACGCGGGGCUCGAGACAGGAUGCGGUGCACAUGCCGAGCAUUCUGCAGGACGGGAGGGCGGACACACCGUGCGGCUCAGUCACAUAUGACAUCUUACUUGGCCGCCUUCACGGACCGCUGACAUGACGCAGGAGGAAAUUCACUAAUCAGAGCUUCGUUGUGAACCAAAGAAUCAGAAUCAGCGCUGCAGUGUGGUCCGAGGAGCCAGGCACCGCGUCGUGGACUGGAGCACACUCAUUCAGCCCUUCUGCCCGUGAACCCCUCCUCCUCAGCGGCCUGUAAAUAUUUACAUGCCGCGUCUGGCAGCUCUUGGAGACGAAGACGGAGGACACCUUGAAGCAGACUGGUUUUGACUUUGUGGCCUUUUCUUUCUUUCUUUUUUCAAACUCGUGGUGACCCUGCGGGCCCUGCGGGCAGGGUUGGGUUUUUGAUGGCUGAAAACAGGAGAGAAGUCGAUCAGUAGCUGCGCUCCUUGUUGCCACUUUGUGCUUCGCCUGCCUGCUUUUUCCUCCUCUGGGAAAAAAUCCAAGAUAAACAUUCGAGGGAACCACUUAAUCACCUCCACUCACAUUCACUAAAUCUGUCUUACACUCUACAACCAGGUUGUAAAAGUGAUGAAAAAAGAGAUGCAGCUCCAUAUAUCAAAAAUAUGAUCAGAUAUACUACUCAGCAUAUUUUAAAGAUGUACUGUAGGUCAAGAUGUUAGCUCUCACCAUGUGUGUUAUGUUGCAUUAGCCGUAGGAGUUUGUAUUAGUGUAUUACAAGAUGCAAAAUAUAUCGGUGAGGAUGUGUGUGUAACUGUGUUGACACCUGCAUAACGUUUACACACACACAAACACACACAAACACGCGCUAUGGGCUGCGUCAUGUGCUCUCAGCUGGUGGACAUGUGGGCUGUGAGAGCGAGCAGGACCAGACGCAGGGCCAUGGAGCUCACGGCGUACCCACAGACCCUCCAGGGAGGCUACCACAGAGUCACGGGCCUCCACUACAUGUCCUCCUUCUCCGACGCCGAGGACUGCUGCGACGACACCAGCUCGGGCAGCUCGCUCACCUCGGACUGGCAGCCUCAGGCCGCCGACGGCUGACGCUCGAAACAAGACGCGUCAUGACGCCGACGUGUACGCAACCACGAUGAGAUACGCAGGAAACGUGCUGUGUUUGCAAUAAACCAUGUGAGGGA